ACAAGUUUUUGUUCAACAUCUGAAGACGAGCAGUAAAAUCCUCCCGACGCAAUAAUGAAUGCCAAAGCCGUACUGAUUGCUCUGGUGGCUUGCGCCUUAUUAGUAGGCGGCACCGAGGCGUGCGGUGGCGAAGGCCGCUCCGAGUCUGGUCGCUGCGGUGGCAGCGAAGGGCGCAGCGAGCACGGGGAAGCCGAGGCACGCCAGGAGAGCGAGACUGCCCGCUGUGGUGGAAGUUCUGGUCGUUGCGAUGGCUAGUCAUGCCCCAAUAAACUUCAUCAACAUGCCAUCGCGGCUGUUUGCUGCAGGAAUUGCUUUGGAAGCAAGAGCCAUCUUGAUCACGAGAGCUUCAAAUAAUUGUUAGACCUAAUAAAGGUGUUCAAUAUUGCA